rnacentral:rRNA from 1 species
UACAGAGGUCCCAAGCGUUGUUCGGAUUCAUUGGGCGUAAAGGGUGCGUAGGUGGUGCCGUAAGUUGGGUGUGAAAUCUCGGGGCUUAACCCCGAAACUGCAUUCAAUACUGCGGUGCUCGAGUACUGGAGAGGAGACUGGAAUUCACGGUGUAGCAGUGAAAUGCGUAGAUAUCGUGAGGAAGGCCAGUGGCGAAGGCGGGUCUCUGGACAGUUCCUGACGCUGAGGCACGAAGGCCAGGGGAGCAAACGGG